UUGGUUGGAGGAGUUCAUAUAGGAUCGUGGUGCAGCCUGCAGACAAAGCGUGCGACGUACUUACUGAUGCGGCCCUCGUGUGUCUCGUCGGUCAGAGAACUGGUCGAAGCCUAGCAUGCCAAGUAGGAGUAAUUAGGAAGAGAAGCGAUACUAUAAUUUCCUGUUGUUUUUAUGCGUGUAGGAUGCAAGCACGGCCGCCGUCGUUUCUACGACUGAGGAUCAGAAGUGAUCAGAAGUGCAUCAUAUGCCGACAGUACGUGUAUCUAUCAACGGUUUCCUAUAGCUAUAGGUUUUCUUAUGUUUGCCUUGAGCACUGGAAGCACCUUUGUGAAUGCAACCCAAAGAAGUUUCGCUUACUUCACCGCCACACCCUUUCAGAGUAGGGUGAUUUAGCUUCCGAGGUCAAGGCUAAUCUCUCAGGGGAGAAUGUUAAGCCGAGCUCCUUAUUGCUUAAUGACAUCCCCACACCAUCUAAAAAGAAUUCUUGCAAAAAUAAACGCCAGGCCUCCUCUCUCGCCUCGACACCGUCCUGGAGUAGAUGUCCCGCCACACGUCAUGCCCCACCAUUGGCAACCGAGUGGCAUCCCGGCUCGAGGUCCCCCUCCACCUCAUUCCUCAUCCCGCGGAUCAUGUCUAUUCCAAUUGAGUGUUUGGCGUGGUCCACGCGCAGCUGCAACAGUUUAGGAAGAAGAAGGAUAAGAAGGGUCCCGGGAAGAAGGCAGAAGCCGACGCGGAUGAGGGGGCGUCGAAAGCGGGUGCCAAUGGGGAGGAGGCCCCGCCGGAGCAGAAGUCCCCCGUUGGGUUGAAGUUCCUUGCUGGGGAGAGUGGCAGCAGCCAUA